rnacentral:rRNA from 1 species
CCUACGGGUGGCAGCAGUGGGGGAUAUUGCACAAUGGGGGAAACCCUGAUGCAGCGACGCCGCGUGUGGGAAGACUGUCCUCUGGAUUGUAAACCACUGUCCCCAGGGACGAAGAUGACGGUACAUGGGGAGGAAGCUCCGCCUAACUACGUACCAGCAGCCUCGGUAAUAGGUAGGGAGCAAGCGUUGACCGGAAUUACUGGGUGUAAAGGGAGCGUCGGGGUGAUGGCAAGUUGGGGGGUAAAUCUACCGGCUAAACGGGGAGUCGCACUCAAAACUGGUAUUCUUGAGGUAAGUAGAGGCAGGCGGAAUUCCUAGUGUAGCGGUGAAAUGCGUAGAGAUUAGGAGGAACACCAGUGGCGAAGGCGGCCUGCUGGGCUUUUACUGACGCUGAGGCUCGAAAGUGUGGGGAGCAAACAGGAUUAGAUACCCGAGUAGUC